UCUGGUAGCAAUGAUGACUGAUCUUUUUUCCCCAGCAGACCGACACUGUUGACCCUUUAUAACCAAAUAAGCCAAUUGCUCUGAGCACCAUGA
ensembl:snoRNA